GCCGUAGUGAUGGAAUGGCAGACGUGACGGACUCAAAAUCCGUUGGUGGCAACACCGUGGGGGUUCAAGUCCCUUCUACGGCGCCA
rnacentral:tRNA from 1 species